GGCGGCGCGCCUAACACAUGCAAGUCGAACGAGAAAGCAGGAGCAAUCCUGUGAGUAAAGUGGCGUACGGGUGAGUAACACGUGGAUUAUCUACCUUCUAGUGGGGGAUAACCCUGGGAAACCGGGGCUAAUACCGCAUAAGUUCGAGAGAAGAAAGCAGCAAUGCGCUGGAAGAGGAGUCCGCGGCCGAUUAUGUUAGUUGGCAGGGUAAAAGCCUACCAAGACUACGAUCGGUAGCCGGCCUGAGAGGGCACACGGCCACACUGGCACUGAAACACGGGCCAGACUCCUACGGGAGGCAGCAGUGGGGAAUCUUGCACAAUGGGGGAAACCCUGAUGCAGCGACGCCGCGUGAGCGAUGAAGCCCUUCGGGGUGUAAAGCUCUUUCGGCAGGGACGAUUAUGACGGUACCUGCAGAAGCAGCUGCGGCUAACUACGUGCCAGCAGCCGCGGUAAUACGUAGGCAGCAAGCGUUGUUCGGAGUUACUGGGCGUAAAGGGUGUGUAGGCGGUUCUCUAACUUUGGUGUGAAAUCUCCCGGCUCAACUGGGAGGGUGCGCCGAAAACUGGGGGGCUAGAGUGCGGGAUGGGA
rnacentral:rRNA from 1 species